GACGAACGCUGGCGGCGUGCCUAAUACAUGCAAGUAGGACGCAGUUGCGAACGGGAGAGUAACGCGUCGGUAACUGCCUAUUAGAGGGGGAUAACUAUUGGAAACGAUAGCUAAUACCGCAUACUAGUAGAUGGACCUGCGUUGUAUUAGCUAGUAGGUAGGGUAAUGGCCUACCUAGGCGAAGAUACAUAGCCGAGUUGGGAGGGUGAUCGGGCAACAUGGGACUUGCACAAGGCCCAGACUCCCACGGGAGGGAGCAGUAGGGAAUCUUCGGAAAUGGGGCGAACCCUGACCGAGCACAGCCGCGGGAGUGAAGAAAGUUUUCGGGUCGUAAAGCUCUGUUGUGAAGGAAGCGUUACUUAACCAGAAAGGGACGGCUAACUACGUGCCAGCAGCCGCGGUAAUAC
rnacentral:rRNA from 1 species